rnacentral:rRNA from 1 species
ACGGUGGGUGAUCUGCCCUGCACUUCGGGAUAAGCCUGGGAAACUGGGUCUAGUACCGGAUAGGAGCCAUUUUUAGUGUGAUGGUUGGAAAGUUUUUUCGGUGUAGGAUGAGCUCGCGGCCUAUCAGCUUGUUGGUGGGGUAAUGGCCUACCAAGGCGGCGACGGGUAGCCGGCCUGAGAGGGUGGACGGCCACAUUGGGACUGAGAUACGGCCCAG